rnacentral:rRNA from 1 species
AGUGGCGGACGGGUGAGUAAUACGUAAGAAUCUACCUAGUAGUUCAGGAUAGCUUGUGGAAACGCAGGGUAAUACUGGAUGUGUUCUCCGGAAUAAAGGGGGCUUUCGGGCUCUCGCUAUUAGAUGAGCUUACGUCGGAUUAGCUUGUUGGUGGGGUAAAGGCCCACCAAGGCGACGAUCCGUAGCUGUUCUGAGAGGAAGAUCAGCCACAUUGGGACUGAGACACGGCCCAGACUCCUACGGGAGGCAGCAGUGGGGAAUAUUGGACAAUGGGCGAAAGCCUGAUCCAGCAAUACCGCGUGUGUGAAGAAGGCCUGCGGGUUGUAAAGCACUUUCGUUGGGGAGGAAAGGCUCUAUGCUAAUACCAUAGAGAGUUGACGUUACCCAAAUAAGAAGCACCGGCUAACUCUGUGCCAGCAGCCGCGGUAAUACAGAGGGUGCGAGCGUUAAUCGGAAUUACUGGGCGUAAAGAGUGCGUAGGUGGCCAUGUAAGUCAGGUGUGAAAUUUCGGAGCUUAACUUCGAACUUGCGCUUGAAACUGUGUGGCUAGAGUCCUGUAGAGGGCAGUGGAAUUUCCGGAGUAGCGGUGAAAUGCGUAGAUAUCGGAAGGAACACCAGUGGCGAAGGCGACUGCCUGGCCAGAGACUAACACUGGGGCACGAAAGCGUGGGUAGCAAACAGGAUUAGAUACCCUGGUAGU